rnacentral:rRNA from 1 species
GAUGAACGCUGGCGGCGUGCUUAACACAUGCAAGUCGAACGAUGAACCGGGUGCUUGCACUCGGGGAUUAGUGGCGAACGGGUGAGUAACACGUGAGCAACCUGCCCCUGACUCUGGGAUAAGCGCUGGAAACGGCGUCUAAUACUGGAUAUGUCCCGUCACCGCAGGGGGUGCGGGUGGAAAGAUUUUUCGGUUGGGGAUGGGCUCGCGGCCUAUCAGCUUGUUGGUGAGGUAAUGGCUCACCAAGGCGUCGACGGGUAGCCGGCCUGAGAGGGGGACCGGCCACACUGGGACUGCGACACGGCCCAGACUCCUAUGGGAGGCAGCAGUGGGAAAUAUUGCACCAUGGGCGGAAGCCUGAUGCAGCAACGCCGCGUGAGGGAUGACGGCCUUCGGGUUGUAAACCUCUUUUAGCAGGGAAGAAGCGAGAGUGACGGUACCUGCAGAAAAAGCACCGGCUAACUACGUGCCAGCAGCCGCCGUAA